UAUAAUAUAGCAAAUUAGUGCAUUGAUUUUAAGCAUCAAAUAUAAAAAAUUUUAAUAUUUUUUUAUUAUAA
rnacentral:tRNA from 1 species